UUCAGACGAUGCGUCAUGCAUAUCAAUAAGCGGAGGAAAAGAAACUAACAAGGAUUCCCCUAGUAACGGCGAGUGAAGCGGGAAGAGCUCAAAUUUGAAAUCUUAAAGGGUUUCCCUUUACGAAUUGUAGUUUAAGGAAGUGUUUUCUGUUGAGGUUUUGGUAAAAGUUCUUUGGAAUAGGACAUCAUAGAGGGUGAGAAUCCCGUAUUUGACCUUUACUUUCAACUUUGUGAUACACUUUCAAAGAGUCGGAUUGUUUGGGAAUGCAGUCCAAAAUGGGUGGUAAAUUUCACCUAAAGCUAAAUAUUGGCGAGAGACCGAUAGCGAACAAGUACCGUGAGGGAAAGAUGAAAAGAACUUUGAAAAGAGAGUUAAACAGUACGUGAAAUUGUCAAAAGGGAAGCGUUUGACACCAGUGUUGUUUUUCUGAAAAUCAAUUAAAGAACUGUUUAUGCUAAGUUGUUUAGACUUUAUCAGCUAUCUGUUUAGUUUUGAGCUUUUCUUUAAUGCACUUUUCAGUUAACAAGUCAACAUCAAUUUCUUUUGCUGUAAAAAAGCUUGAGGAAGGUGGCUUGAGAUUCGUCUUAAGUGUUUAUAGCCUCUUGCCUAUGCAGUCGGAGAGAUUGAGGUCUGCAGCGUAGAUCCUUCGGGGCUAAAUGCAUUUGUGCUAAGUUAUAGCAUUUUAUAGACAACUUGUUGACUAUGAUUUGUCUUGUAGCUUACUCGCUUAUGUUAUUUUACCUACGCUUAGGAUGUUGACACACGCGCGUGCUCG
rnacentral:rRNA from 1 species